rnacentral:rRNA from 1 species
GCGAUCAUACUAGGACUAAUGCACCGAAUCCCAUCAGAACUCCAAAGUUAAUCUUGCUUGGGCGAGGGCAGUACUAGGAUGGGUGACCCUUGGGAAGUCAACGUGUUGCACCU